rnacentral:rRNA from 1 species
UGCAAGUCGAGGGGUAUAGGAAGCUUGCUUUCUAGAGACCGGCGCACGGGUGCGUAACGCGUAUGCAAUCUACCUUUUGCAGAGGGAUAGCCCAGAGAAAUUUGGAUUAAUACCUCAUAGUAUAACGACUCCGCAUCGAGAUGUUAUUAAAGUCACAACGGCAAAAGAUGAGCAUGCGUCCCAUUAGCUAGUUGGUAAGGUAACGGCUUACCAAGGCAACGAUGGGUAGGGGUCCUGAGAGGGAGAUCCCCCACACUGGUACUGAGACACGGACCAGACUCCUACGGGAGGCAGCAGUGAGGAAUAUUGGACAAUGGGCGCAAGCCUGAUCCAGCCAUGCCGCGUGCAGGAUGACGGUCCUAUGGAUUGUAAACUGCUUUUAUACGAGAAGAAACACUCCGACGUGUCGGAGCUUGACGGUAUCGUAAGAAUAAGGAUCGGCUAACUCCGUGCCAGCAGCCGCGGUAAUACGGAGGAUCCAAGCGUUAUCCGGAAUCAUUGGGUUUAAAGGGUCCGUAGGCGGUUUAAUAAGUCAGUGGUGAAAGCCCAUCGCUCAACGGUGGAACGGCCAUUGAUACUGUUAAACUUGAAUUAUUAGGAAGUAACUAGAAUAUGUAGUGUAGCGGUGAAAUGCUUAGAGAUUACAUGGAAUACCAAUUGCGAAGGCAGGUUACUACUAAUGGAUUGACGCUGAUGGACGAAAGCGUGGGUAGCGAACAGGAUUAGAUACCCUGGUAGUCCACGCCGUAAACGAUGGAUACUAGCUGUUGGGAGCAAUCUCAGUGGCUAAGCGAAAGUGAUAAGUAUCCCACCUGGGGAGUACGUUCGCAAGAAUGAAACUCAAAGGAAUUGACGGGGGCCCGCACAAGCGGUGGAGCAUGUGGUUUAAUUCGAUGAUACGCGAGGAACCUUACCAAGGCUUAAAUGUAGAUUGACCGGUUUGGAAACAGACUUUUCGCAAGACAAUUUACAAGGUGCUGCAUGGUUGUCGUCAGCUCGUGCCGUGAGGUGUCAGGUUAAGUCCUAUAACGAGCGCAACCCCU